AAAAAAAAAAAAAAAAAGAAGAAGGAGAAAGACAAGAUGACUUUCAGAAAGAGGAACAAAGUUUUCUUUCGAGAUAGUCUUCUCAAAGAAAUGGAAAGCAACAGUUGUGUAAACUGAGAAAAGCUAGCCAACUUUCAGGAGAUAAGGAAGGAGAGUCUCUUGCCGAGGCAUGAGAUUAAUAGUAACACAGAAGAUUUUUACUUUGCUUGAAAGGUGGCGAGAAUUUAGAAAUGCUUUAGGACUAGAUUUUUAAUUUUUUAGAAAACUAUCACCAUUUGUUAUGAAACAUCUCCUCAGUUGUUUGGGGUGGGGUUUUCGUUUCUUUUUUUACUUUAAAAACUACUUUAUUGACUGGCUCCAGGCAUGUUUGCCUAAAUUCUUAGGUAGUUUACACAAGUUCUAGAAUCUUCUAGAACUUAAAUUCCAUUGGAAGCAAACCCAGCUGAUCAGAAUUUGAGAUCCUGGUUGGUUUCACUCAAUAGGUAUUCUGGAAUUCUGACAGAACACCUAAAGAUUUUUUUAAAGAAGGUUUUAGAUACAUUAUCUUACACAAACUGUGACCUGAUGGCAAUAAUUACCUCAAAUGUGGGCAUUCAUCCUGGUUAUAGCCUUUUUUGAAAUCAUGUAGCCAGCUUGAUCUUGGGAUUUAAAAGACUAUGAACUCUGUGUGGGCUGAAAAUAACGAUUAAUGCACACCCUGGUCAUUGUUGCUUAAGUGAACUCUGAAAAUAGGUAAUCUUUACAACAAAAAUGGAACCAAGGAAGAGAUUAUUCCUUGUGUUUUGUAAUCAAAUGUGAUUUUCAAAUGCACAUGUUAAGUAUAUAUGUUUUUAGCUACUGUAAAAUGCUGUUAGGCUUCUAAGAUAUCAAGAGAGUCACAUUUUAAAACGCGUGAACUAAAUAAUUGACUGUGGAUACUUAAGCAUAUUUCUGGCUACGUUUUAUAGUUAAAGUGUUUUAUAGUUUACAUGUAAACUGGUACUUUUUAAAGAAAAUUUCUGUUUAUAACUGACAUCUUCAAACCCCAGCAAUUUCGCCUCUUUAGUUGGAGGCCACGUUCCCCCAAGGCACCCCAAGGCAGGUGUGUUCUACCCGUACUGUUGUGUAGCCUUCCAUAUUACUGGUUUCCAUGGGAACGUGAGAGAAUGUGAAAGGAUUUCCAGGUCGAGCAGGGAAGGGGUGAGUCCACAGCCUGGGCCAGAUGCGAAGAUCUCGUGCCACGUUGUAUCCACACUGGUCGUCAAGGCCUUCUCUUUGACAUCUUGGAAGAGGCAGAGAGAACAGAUACCUGGUUUGUUGAUUCUGUCUUGAUUUGAAUGUUUAAUUUAUUCAUCGGUCCACUGACUUCCAGUCACCGGGCAGUAGAAGACACUGGGAUUCAGGUGGCCCCGAAGGUACAGCUGCUAUUUCUGGGCCCCCAGCAAUAUUCUGAUUGGCGUUUUGCAGGGGAGAGUCAUACACCCCUGUGCCCAUAUUUAUUGGUUGGGUUUUCCAUCUAUCUGCUGUCAUUUAUUCCUUUUCUCCUUUAAAACAAAGUAAGUGUAAAAGGUUGUGUUUCCUUUUCACUCUUUGUCAAACUUCGUUUUAAAGCCUAGGUCAUUAGGAGGUGGGAUCUAGAUUUUUUGCUAGAGAUUGUAAGUGCUGCUGAGUGGGGGAGGAGGGGACUGGGGACCGAGGGGCAAUGGGGGGGGGGGGAGGAGCAGUGAGAUACGUCCGAGUAGAGGUCAUAAUUGAGAGGGCCCACCACCAUGAUGCAGGAGCCAGUUUCCCUAAGAGUUUUGGUUCAUUUCUUCUUUUCUCUUGUGCCACAACCUUGGUGCAGAGGACCUGCUGUGAUCUGAAGGGCAUUCCUUUAGCAGAUAACACCUUGAAAACUGCAGAACACCUGGGACCAGGGAACGAACUGGUUGGUGGUUGUUUUUAAUGCAUUUGCUUUUUCGCUGUGAACUCUGUUGACAGUAUGCUCUUAUCACAGUUUUUGGUUGGAAAUGUCAUUGUAAAAUAUUUUUCAUCUUGCCCCUCCUAAUUAUCCUCUGCUUUCCUCUGUUUGGUUUUUUCCCUUUGAUUUGAUUAACCAAAUGAAUUUUAUGUCAUGGUCUUUGGGGCUUAAUCAUAUUUUUUAAAAAUAAAGGUAUAGAAAUUGGCUUUUUUUUUUUUAAGUAGAUACGCUGUAUCUGAAAAAGGACUCUGCCCUCGCUCUCUGGUUGCCUUUCAGCCAGCCUCCACACGAGCCUCCUGGCACUCCCUCCCCUCUUCUUGUGUUGGGUCACUGCCCCCGUGGCCACCUUGGCCUCUGCCCUGCUGUCACCACAGCCCCGUGCCCAGGCACCCAGGACUCCCAGGAAGCUCUCAAGAGCCAGGAAGAAGGACCCACUUAGACUUAACCAGACCAGUUCUGAGGCUACAGAGGUUAUCGUUACCAGCCACAUCUUUUCUCCAUCUGUGAGGCCUAAGGCGUUGCCGUCACCUGCCAUCCGAAGAGCUUCCCAAGUUCAUCCCGGAUCUGGGUGCGGAGCCGCCAUCCUCUCACGGGCCUUGCCCUCUCAGGAGACUUAAGUGCCAGGCAGCCUCUAGCUCGCCGGCCUCACCACCAGGUCCUCCCCGGAACGGCCCACCGGAGCUCCACCACGCGCACACAAACAGAUUGUUCAAGCAGAAAUACUGAGGGUCGUCAAAAGACUUUGGCCAAGAGAUUUUCCUAUCCCAGAGCCAACUGUGAGACCCACUGAACAAUGAUACUGUGGCCCAGGAAAUGAGCGUCAGCUCCUGGACGUGGGCACACCAAAAGAGGAUUGUGAGCACAGGCUCCGGACGCAGAGGCUCAGCGGCCAUGGCUCACGGGCCCAG